rnacentral:rRNA from 1 species
CUACGGGUGGCUGCAGUGGGGAAUAUUGCACAAUGGGCGCAAGCCUGAUGCAGCCAUGCCGCGUGUAUGAAGAAGGCCUUCGGGUUGUAAAGUACUUUCAGCGGGGAGGAAGGGAGUAAAGUUAAUACCUUUGCUCAUUGACGUUACCCGCAGAAGAAGCACCGGCUAACUCCGUGCCAGCAGCCGCGGUAAUACGGAGGUGCAAGCGUUAAUCGGAAUUACUGGACGUAAAGCGCACGCAGGCGGUUUGUUAAGUCAGAUGUGAAAUCCCCGGGCUCAACCUGGGAACUGCAUCUGAUACUGGCAAGCUUGAGUCUCGUAGAGGGGGGUAGAAUUCCAGGUGUAGCGGUGAAAUGCGUAGAGAUCUGGAGGGAUACCGGUGGCGAAGGCGGCCCCCUGGACGAAGACUGACGCUCGGGUGCGAAAGCGUGGGGAGCAAACAGGAUUAGAUACCCUCGUAGUC